UUUGUACUUCCUCCGUUUCAAAUUACUCGUCGCUGAAAUGGAUGUAUCUAGAAUUAAAAUACAUCUAGAUACAUCCAUACGUGCGACAAGUAAUUCAGAAUGGAGGGAGUACAUA
rnacentral:pre_miRNA from 1 species